GUUGUAUUACCCACAUACGUUUUGAUAUUCGCCUGGACAGUUCUAAAUGAGACAUGCCUUACUCAGUAUAAUAUGAUGAUAAGGGAAAUUCAGCUAUCCAACAGAUGUAAUAUGUGUAAAAAGAAGGGGAAACAACAACAUAAUAGGUUGUCAUUUGUCUUAAUCUUGAAGCCUAGCUCUUGCUUACUUGUUCUCUUUUGCAAUGGAGGCAUGUUCAUUGCUAAGGGUGGUAGUAAGGUUCUGGUGGAGCCUCAUACACAUAGAGGCGUGUUCAUUGCUAAGGGCAAGGAAAAUGAUCUUUGUACUAAGAAUUGGUACCCGGUGAAGCCGUCUACAAUGAAAAAAGAAUCUCUGUUCAGCAUCAUGCAACUGCUCUCUACACCUUUGAAUAAACAGAUUCAAUCAACUCAAAAAGUGGAGGGAUACCACCUUCAAUGCUACAGUCACAACAUAUAGAUUAAGAGCAAGGUUUGUUACUGCAUCAGUUGUCUGCCGAAUAACACCAUGGACAUCUCUAAAGUUCUAAGCAUAUAUGUGCCUCUUCAACAGACUAACGAGAUUAGGCAAAAUUCCAGCAUCAAAAA